GAUGAACGCUGGCGGCGUGCCUAAUACAUGCAAGUCGAGCGAACGGACGAGAAGCUUGCUUCUCUGAUGUUAGCGGCGGACGGGUGAGUAACACGUGGAUAACCUACCUAUAAGACUGGGAUAACUUCGGGAAACCGGAGCUAAUACCGGAUAAUAUUUUGAACCGCAUGGUUCAAAAGUGAAAGACCGUCUUGCUGUCACUUAUAGAUGGAUCCGCGCUGCAUUAGCUAGUUGGUAAGGUAACGGCUUACCAAGGCAACGAUGCAUAGCCGACCUGAGAGGGUGAUCGGCCACACUGGAACUGAGACACGGUCCAGACUCCUACGGGAGGCAGCAGUAGGGAAUCUUCCGCAAUGGGCGAAAGCCUGACGGAGCAACGCCGCGUGAGUGAUGAAGGUCUUCGGAUCGUAAAACUCUGUUAUUAGGGAAGAACAUAUGUGUAAGUAACUGUGCACAUCUUGACGGUACCUAAUCAGAAAGCCACGGCUAACUACGUG
rnacentral:rRNA from 1 species